GCCUUAAUUGUGCUUCAUUAGGAGUUCUAAUCCAAAUCUAAUUUGGGUUUAAGCCCUUUAAAAGGGCCUGAUCGGUGAAAGGAGGUUGAUGGUGGUGUGCUUUCUCAUGCGGUGCAAAGACUAGAGACCCGGGAAGAGAGAGAGCUGUGUGAUGCUGUGAGAGGAGCAGGAGGCUUCUGGACAGCGGACAGUGGUCGCUUUAGGGGUUUAGGGGUGUCUUCCUAGAGCGAAAGUUUUUGUGAGGGAGAACUUCUUGUGAGGGAGAAAUUGAGUGUAUGAGGGUUGAGGGUGAGAUCUCCUCUUGUAAUAUUUUUUUUUCAUAGUGAAGUUUGCUUGUCCCAUGGAGGCCAGCC
rnacentral:lncRNA from 1 species